ensembl:lncRNA
AUCUGACUGAGACCUCUGAGCAGAGAAGGUCUUACAACAGCAGUGGCUGAUUGAAGAAGGAUAAAAAUUGUUAAUGCAAAAGGAAUCUGGUGGCUCUACAGCAGGCCCCUGGGAAGACUCUCUGAGAAGGCUGUCAUUUUCUUCAGUCCUAUUUCCAAUAUCUGUUCUACUGCUUCCCUUCCCAUGGCAGGAAGGAGGUAUCGCCAAGCUGAGUGGCCUGAAGCAGCAAAAUUCGUUUUGUCCGUGUUGUUGGAAAGCUUUGCACUGGCUUUUCUGAAAGGAUCCCAGAGAUGUAUCACUGAUCAGACAUGAUGACUAUUCUGGGAGAUGAUGGACCUCUUCAAGCUCUGGUCUGAAGGAAACCAGCCUGGGAACUUGAGGACUGUUAGGGGACAAAUAGAAUAAUGACAGUGGCAGAUAUCUAGCUCCAGAAAGUUUCAAAGCAAUGUUUUUAUCAAGGAAGGUGAUGGAAGUACAGAUGCACAGUCAGGAACUCUUUGACAUAAACCUGAGGAGAACUACUCCCUGGUUUGGGUGCAGUAAGUGGUUAGAAGCCCUCUGUCUGCAGCUGUGAGAACAGGAUAGAUCAGCAUUGUCCAUGAUGUUCUGCCACAAAACAAGGCUUAGCACAUUACUCCACUGGUGGAAAAAGCGUGUUCUGGAGGAACGUCUCAAAAGCUGAGGCUGUGGUGUAAGGAAUGUACCCAUGAGACCUCAAAUUGUCAGUUAGCGUAUGUUGUGCCAGAAGCAGUUGUAUAAUGCUGUUUUGGUUGUGUGCUUUGUUUUGUUUUUUGUCUUCAUAUGACUUUCCCCUCAAUUGAGUUUUCUUGUUUUGCUGGUGUUCCUCUUGGAGAUCAUUCCAGCACCAUCAGAUACUGAUUUGGGUUAGAAGAAAGAGAGAAGCAAGAACUUGUUUACAGCAGUUUCUCUCUGAUACUUCCAGUGUUUAACUGUGAAAGUGUCCUGAUACAAAUUCAGUGAGCCUGUGUGUCUUGCAGUGACAGAUUAUGCUUAUAUAGCUUUACAUACAGAUUUGAGAGUGAACUAAUAAGGAACUGCAAAGAGAAUUACUGAUUGAUGCGGGUAUGUCUUCUUUUGCUAAAGAUUUCUGAUAUGCUGUCAUUAAAAUUUCAAUCUAAUUUUCCCAGAUGAAUGGUACAACUAAGCAGCCAGUCUAUCAUUAUUUGUAAAUGCAGUCAAACAACAGCUUGCGGAAGAGCCUAUGGCUGCAUGCCAUUGGAAAGACAAUGAGGUGGUGACUGCUGACUCCCUUGAAAUGUACAAGUUUUCUCACUGGCUACGUACUAAAAAACACAUCAUCAGAAGUUUGUUGCAUUCUGUGAAUUUUUCCUAAUCUCUAACAUUGCAACUCUGCCUGUGCAUUAAUGUGCACAGCCCAAGCAAACAUCUAUCUAUUGCUAUUCUGUCAUUCUGGGUUCCUUUCUGGCGAAGGGGCCAGACUACUUUUGUCACUUAUUUCUCCUCUGCAAACACAGAUUUGUAGCAGCACAUUCCCUCCAUUUGCAUUUUUAUCAUACCUGGAAAACAAAAAUUCAAAUAACACUUCAGAAUUUCUCUCUCAGCAAAAGUCUUUCCUAUGCUAUGAGGAGUCUAAUUUAAAUCCAGUUUCUUCUGUCCCGUAGGUCUUUUUAGUGCCGUACUUGUUCUUGCUUUGUCUGUUCCAGAACUUGCUGAAACUCUGUUGAAUUUCUUCGUCUCCUCUCUCUAUUUUGCACUUGAGUCUUUUUCUGACACGGUCCUUAAAAGAAACAGUGCAGAGGACUACAUCAUGAUCCUGUUGACUUCAGUGAUGCAGCAGAAUCAUUUCCAAACUGCUGUGUUUAUUGACAGAAGAGUAUACUAACAAAGCUGUAAGUCCAGUGUUGUCCAUAGUGCUGGGGAAAAGGUUAGCAAACACACAGUGCUGCUUUCUGUAGGUACUAAUUUUAUAUCUUUGAAGAGCAGAUGCAUCGUUACCGCUAUUUGUACUGCAAACCACAGGUGGCUGUGGAAUAUGUUUUUGAUCUUCGCAUCACCCCUGCAGAAACUGGUAUCCAUGUCAUGUUUCGGUGAGGUGCAGAGGGAGAGGGAUGUGCAGUUGUCAGUCUUAACUUGUGAUAUCUGAGACGUAAUAUGAAGCCCCCUAACAAAACUCUACCUGUUAGCUGGUGAUGAGUGGGCUGUUGAGCUGAAGAGGGCUGAGAGAGGAAACCUCUGACAGGCAGAAAUCUUAAUGCUACAUGUUAUUUUUCCCUUCUAGCUGAUCUUCCAAAGAAAAAUAUGUCUGUAGGCAGACAUGAAGUAAAGACUGCAGUGGUUGCUGAGGCUCCUACCAGUCCAUCCUGAGUGCUUCUGAGGAGGGGAAACUUAAAAUUCCUGACUUUUUGACAUAAGCAUUUGAGGAAUGGGAUGAAAACUAUAAACAGCCUGCUUUCAUCUCUGACGUUAGAAUAAAAUGCUGGCCCAAAGAUGACAGGAUAGAGGAACUCACUGUGCUAUUCAGGCGCACUUUGCUUUUCACUUUCAGUUGUACAACAAAGCAGUAGGAAGUUUAUGGCAGCAUAAAAGGAUUCCAGAGAUGAGCUGUGGCAACCUAUGGGAUUCUAGAUAUGAAAAAGCAAAUCAGAGAGACUUGUUCAUAAGAAAAUCAGUGUUUCAAUAUACCUACUUUUCUUUAUCUAUGUCUUUCAUCAUUUCUGACUUCUGAAACCUCUCUCCCUAUGCUAGGUUUCUUGGUGCGGUUGUACCAGCAGAUCAGAACACUGAUAGAAUUGACUCUCUGUACUUGAUGCUUGGCAGGGAAGUGAGAUUUGUGAGCUAGUGACUUGUUUGCACCAAGUCCUCUUGUGGGUAAUGUCAUGCUCCAGGGCUGCCAAUCUAGCACCUUUCAGGGGCUCUUCAUUAACACAACCAAAAUACAUCUCUGUACUUUUGAACACAAACACGAUCUUAAUAGAACAGUCUUUAAUUUCGUUAUUUCUGUGAGGCAUGAGAUAGCUGUUAGAAUUCGUUUAACAACAAAAAUAAAUAAAAAUUGAGGGUUUUGUUUUGUUGUGUUUUGCUGUGUUGUUGACUAGGGCUCCGCUAAUUAAGUAGCAAUUCAGUUGCUUACACUUUGAAGUUUCAUUCAUUACCUGUCUUGUGUUAAGUCAACAAAAGGCUACAUCUAAGGCAGGGAGUCCCAGGCCAUCACUUUUUUGGCUGCCUAAUUAAAUGUAAUUACUUUAUUUUGUGCCGGCAUUCAUACUUGUAAUAAUUUAAAUUGUGUGUGUGCUGCAGGGGGACUGUUUGACGCCAGAGAGGAGACGUUCCUGCUGUCCUUCCUUGCAACAGCAUGCAAGUCAAAAGUACAGAGAUGUCAUUUUCCUACCUACUUAUUAGCUGCCCUACAGGAGAAGCUCACCAGUAAGGCACUCAUUUUAUAUGAACAGGAUGUCUAACGGACCCACAAUUGUGCCUAAAAAUAGCCUGUGUUCAGGACAUGCUGGGAUUAGCCACAGAGGGAAUCCUAGGCAUUUAAAAGCAACUGACCUUCCCAUGGCACGUGAGCUUUGCAUCCAUUCUCUUUUAUUUUAUAAUUAUGACAGAUCAAAAGCAUUACGCUGCCAGUCAUUAUCUCUUAAGAGGGAUUUGAAGAAUUACCGUCCUCUUGACAAGCAAAAUACUCCUGCUGCUUCUAUUUGUGGAGAUCAAGCAGUAAAUAUCCCUCAAACAGUUAAAUCACUGGUGUUUCAUUUUUCCCCUCACGCAUUAGGAAAAAGAUUGCUGCAGAAUGAGUAAAUGAGAAGCCCAAUGCAGUUAAUGAGCUCUGAUAAAGCUCCCUGACCCAAGGAAUAAGUACAAGCCAGUCUGAAUUUUGAGUCAGACUUUAAUGAUUAAUAAUAUGGUAAAUCUAGUCUCACUAGCCGUAAUAACAGGGGUCGCCUUGGCUCUUUGUUGGCCACAGAAACGAGCACAUCUUCACCGUGUGUCAGAACCCUCCCUUUUGCUCAAUGGUGCCACCAGGUCUACAGCGAAGCAGUUAAACCUAAUGUGAGAUCUUAAGAAUCUCAAGCUGCAUUCAAGUUUAAAGAGGAGGGGGAAAAAACAGCAAACAGCUCCUGGCUUUCUAAAAGCUAGGUAAUUUGUGGAGUGUUUGGAGGAACAUCACAAAGAAUACAAACGGAAAAACAAUGAAUUGAUUUAAUGUAAAAGAGGGAUGAGACUGUUUAUUUCCAGAAAUAAUGUUGUAUCAGUGUUUGGAUACAAACAUGAAGUUGCAGUUCAUUUAUGGUACAUUCAGUUCUAUAUAAAAUGUCUUGGAGUGAGGGGAAUUUUUGUGGACCCGGAAUUUUUGUGGCAGACUUGUGAUUUGUGAGGAGCAGCAAGAUAAAAAUCAAACAUUUUUGCCUUCUGAUUAUGAUAGUAGGUCAUCAGGAUUUUAGUCUGUUUCUUAAUGUGCAGGAAUAUGGGCAGAGGGGGCUAUGUGGUCAGCUGACUCUCUUUUGUGUUUAGGGCCCUAUUACAAGUCAUGUCAAGUAUGUGCUUUAUAUGAGGGAUGAACGUAUUCAUCUCCACAGAGCAGGCUAGGUAGCAUGAAAAGUAUUUCAGUUUUGCCCACUAAGCUAAACCAUGUAAUUUACAUUUCUCUUUUGCCUUGUGUUUACACUGACUUACAGUCCCAUUUGCUAUCUCCCGAUGGUGGAAGCUUAUUGAGAUAGGGAGCCCAUCAGUCUGUGUUUGAUUUUAGAUGUAGGGAUAUCAUUAAUGAUUAACUACUUCCCAUUGAAUAUCAAUUUCAGUCAGAGCCAUUUAAAUUCAUUUAAAACAGUAAGUUGCAAACACAGAGUCCUUGCAGUCAAACCCACAUAGCAGGCUAAAGUAACCAAAUUAUUUUCAGGAUGAGGUAAACUUUCAGCAAGAAUACGGUAAUGUGAUCUAAUGGUAAAGGGAGAAGGUCUUUACGGACACCCACUGAGGAGCAUCAGAAAGAUGCUUUGCGUGUAACUGGUGGUUCAGUGGAGAGGGACUUCGAGUCAUGUCUGCUACUGGUGAAAAAUCUCAAAAUGCAUGGAAAAUGCUCCUGCCCUGAUUCUGCCUCCUGUGAAGCCUUUUCUGUGCUAUGCUGGUAGUGCCAAAUUCAGUGCAGGGAGACUAAACUCUGCAUUUAAAGGAGUGCUGGAACACUGACUUCAUAGGAAAGUUUGGGCUGCUAAAACUCAGAGCUUAUGAUCUGCAGUGAGGCUUCUCUGAAAGGGUGGUCAGGCACUGGAAUGGGCUGCCCGGGGAGGUGGUGGAGUCACUGACCCUGGAGGUGUUCAAGGAACAUUUGGACAUUGUGUUGAGGGACAUGGUUUAGUGAGAACUAUUGGUGAUGGGUGGAUGGUUGGACUGGGUGAUCCUGUGGGUCUUUUCCAACCUUAGUGAUUCUAUGAUUCUCAUGAGGAGCAGGCUGAGGCAGUCUUCUUCUGUCCUGCUCUAUCAGACUGACUACCUUAGUGGGGCAGGCAGGUGGCAGAGCCACUUAAAACCAAAGAAAAUUGGAAAAUCUGAGAGCCUACUACAUAAUAUAUUCUGCUCUGUACUUUCUUCCCCAGACUGUAAGAGACCUGUGUUAAGGGAUCUGGAGGUGGUCCCAUCUUCCCUCCACAUCUUACUCUGCUAUAGUUCAAGGCAUCCCAGUUUUUUUCUGCAAGAUAAUAUAGAUAGAUAGAUACGACCCAAGACACUAAGCAAUUAAGUGGCAUAUGAAACAAAGAAAUUAACGUGGAAGCAUUAACUGGCUUCAAUCCCAGUGCAGAAUGGUGCGUGUUUUACAAUAGCUUAGAUUGACACUUAGGUUUCAGUGCUUUUUGGCUCGGGUUCCAGAAAUCUCUGCUCCAGUCAUGAUCCUCUUGAAAGCACCAGACUGAAAUGGACUUGGAAGAAGCAGUCACCUUGUCUCCUGAUAGAUUUCUGGGCUGUCUAUAGACAAGAUGUGAAGCCAACUUCCAGAUCUUUGUUUGCUGGGAGCCGAUGAUGUUUAACGUGAACAUCAAAAAUAUCAAAACAAAGUACUUCCAGCUCCUGUUAUCAAAAGACGGUAUCGAUAGCUAAAUUCACAAUAAAGCAACAAAGGUCUAAGAAGGAUCUUUAGCAAAUUGCCUGCACGGUUGAGGAGAGGGAGUCUAGAGCAAGAUGGUGCCCUUAGAAUGAAAGGAAAAGAAAGGAAGAAGGUAAUAAUUAGUUUUAUAAAUGUGCAAGCCAUGGGUUCAAUAAGAAAAAGAAUGGGAAACUCCACCCAGCAGGUUGUACAGGGGUUUCUCAUGUUCAAAUACCCAGCAGUGAGUGGGAGGAGAGUGUGAACCAUAUGAUGGCAAAGUGUGCUCAUGAUACCGGGCAUUUUUGGGGAAUAGAGCUGAGGGUCAACUACAAUGGGCUGCAAAAGGACAUGGCAAUUAAAUGACUUGUGUGGCAAGAUACACAAAGCAGCUGAAGUGGUGCUACACAGGAGGGUGAGAGAAUUGCUCUCUUUACAUUUGCAAAGAUAAGCUCUCUGCAGUUAUUUCCACCUGUAUGGAAAUCGUUUUCUGGCUGCAGUAGAAGCUGAAGGAGAAACUCAAACGUUAGGAUUGGAGAGCGCUGUAACACUGUGAAUCUGUUGCACUGUCUGUGUAAAGCAGCAUUUGGAGUCCUGGUCCUUUCAUCCCUAAAAGGAUGUGAGUGACUAGAAGAACUCCAGAAAAGAUUGCUAGGAUUAUCUGAGCUUUGCAUGAUUUCUGUGCAAGGAAUGACAAGGGAAGAUGCAACAGAAUUAUACAAAGCGAGGAGUGUCAUAAAGACCUACUGUUCAGUGUCAGCAUAAAUUUUUUAACUCCUUUCCUCUUUGUAACCAGGCUACCAAGUUCUUGUCAACAUCUCCAAGUUUGGUCUCGGUCUGCCAAUAUCUUUUGCCCCAUGAGUGAUGACAAUGCAGAGUGAAACAGAUCACAAGCAAAAAAAGCUGGUUGAUAUGUCUGCAAGUGUUUUAGUGUUUGGUGCAUGCUUCAAAAACCCAUUAGCAGAAACGCUAUCUAUACUUUUACACAGUAGAAUAUCAGUGCAUUAGUCUCAGAGCAGUUGUAGAGGACAGUACUUAAUAUUGAAUUUUUUGUGCCCCUAAACUUGAAUUAAUGAUGAUAACUGUUGUGGCUUUGCAUUUUACAGUACAACUCUGAAAAUACUGCACAAACACUUAAAUAUCCUUUCCUUGUGAUUGUAGCAUCUGUCUUGGCAAGUGGUGUGCAUUAUAGAUAUAUCAUAGCUGUAUUGAAAGUACAUGUUGCACAAAAAAAGAACUCAUUAAAAACAAAUAGUUUAUUAAUUAUAGAUGCAUGUUCUUUUUGAGAAUGGAAAUUGCUCUGGAAGCACCUUUCAAAGUAGUUCAAGCAACAAGCCCUCUUGUUUAUGCAUCCCAUCCAUAUUUUUGAAGGAAAAAAAUUCAAGACAGUAUAGGGGCUUUAGCUGUAAUAACAUUGUUAUAUAUUUAAUGCUUUCAAAUAACAAAGUGUUUCAAAUCCAGUUUUGGCAUGCUGCUUAAGGAGCUCUCCAUUCUCUGCCUAUAUAUAGCUUUGGCAUCAUAAAUUCACCACUGCAAGUUAGAAUAGCUUCUUCAAAGCAGUGUGUUUGUAUACAUAAGAAAAAGGUGGUGCAUGGAGAUCUGAGGAGACAUUCUGAAAACCGAGGUAAAGUUUUUUAACUACACAGAGUGGAGGUGGUGAUAAUUCAGAAAUAUGACUUGGGGGAUUUAUAAAGUACGUUUUCCAGGUAUAAGGUAACACUAAUAAACAAUGAUUAGCAGAAUGCUGAAGAUACUGAGUCCAUUCAAUCUGCAUGAGCAAUCCUUGGAAACCUAAGAAACGGGUAAAAUUAGGGCUGCUCUAAAAGUGCUCUAAAUGCCAGAUUUUCUCUUAGGUAAAUGGUCCACUCACAGUCAGGCAGACUAGAUAUUCAACAUUUGCUACUGCUUGCUCUGAUUAACUGUAAUCAUCCGACUCUUGAUUUAUGUUACUUUGAAUGUAGCUUCUUUUGUUGUCUCUUGAUGUCUCUUGGGCUCUCAGUUGCCACCUCUAGUGCUACCGUUCAAAUUCUUCUCUCAUGAUUUCCAGUGCAGCCUUUUCUGGUUUUAAAGCUUUUGCACUUUGAGUUCUCUGUGACGCAAGGUGCCCCUUCACUGUUCUCCCAGUGACCUGAAAGCUGUGUUACCAUCCAGAGGGGCCUUGGUGGGCUGGAGAGUUGGGCUAACAAGGACGUUACAAAACUCAAGUACAAGAGACAUCUGGACAUACUGGGAAGUGUUGAAUGCAGGACGCUCAGGGUGAUGAGGGGAUAGGAGCUCCUCUCCUAUGAGAAGAGGCUGAGAACUGAGGCUGUUUAGCCUGGAGGAGGCUCAGCAUUUGCUGUGAGCCUAACAGAGUACUGGCACAGAGGUCACCCUGAGAGAUUGUGGAGUUUCUUUCCUUAGAGAUCUUUGAAAGGUGCCUGGGCACAUGGCCCUGGGCAACCUGCUGGAUGUAGCCCUGGUUGAGCAGGGGUUGAGGAGGUUGGACCAGGUGGCCUCCAGAGAUCCCUUCCAACCUCAGACAUUCUGAGAUUCUGUGAGUCUCUUUUCCCAUUUGUGUUUCAGGUUGUGAUUUGAACUCUUCCAUUAUUCCCAUGGCAUCAGCUCUAUCUUCCUGAUAUGAUUGUAGGGAAAAAAAAUAAAAUAGGAUCUAAGUAACCAAUUGGGGGGGGGGGGGGGGGGGGGGAGUCUAAGUAAGCUUUUUUUUUUUUUUAAUAUUUCAAGCUACAUUUCAUUUUUUUCUUAACUAAUGUAUGUGAGAAACUAUUUUGAUGCAUGAGGUCUGAUCCUAGGUUUCUAUGUGAACAGUGACCAACUUUUAUUGCAGAAUGAUGCAAACAUUUAUAAAACGGUCCUUUUGAUGGACAGUGGAAAGCACAGGCAGCCUCCUCUAAGCUGAACCAGAACUGAAACAAGACUGUUCAGCUUUUGGCUAUGGUGUUUUGCUGUCAUCUCUCUACUUUUCAUUUCUGUUCUCUUUGCUGUUCUCUCUUUCUUGAAGGCAAAGGUAUUUUACCAGAGCCAUCUGUAGUUAUAUGCUUGAUCACUGUGUGAUCAUACAGCCCAUAUUUCUGGGCAAAACACUGUGGUAGAUACUGCAAUUAAUUAGCCACUAGAGUGCUUUGUUACUUUGGCAGCUGGUGGGGUCAGUUAGUGAUGGCAUUGCUCUAGGCUGGGAGGGAAGUGAGCAAAGACGUUAUUCCAGUAAGUGCCUUGCCUCCUGUUUGUAGCUUGGCCCAUUGCAUCUUGCCAGACACACAGGCUCCUCCAAGUACUUUCACAAUCAUCUCUUGUCUCUUCAAUUACCACUUCCUCCUCCCCCUGCCUCUCUCUUCCGUUUGACCUUCUAGUAAUUCCUCUGGCGCUAGUUCAGAAUUGUGCAGUAGGCUAUACUACCCGGUCCAAUUAAAGAUGUAAGUAUGUGGCACAUGAGAAGUUACCUAACAAGCCUCUAAACUGCCCUUAAACGAGAGCCCGAUGUCUCAUUGAUCUUGCCUGACCCACUUUGAAUCCCAAAAUUUCAUAGGCUGCAGUUAACUGUCACAGCAAUUACAGGUUUUUGGAACUUCACUGUUGUUUUUUUGCUUUGUGCCGUCAGCCAGCAGUAGUAAGCUUGUAUGUCCAGAUUUAGAUAGGGGCUGGUUUCCUAGAUGCACACAUGGCACUUGGGUUUUAUUUUUAAUUCAUAGAGACCACUUAAUGUAAUGAUCAGCAAUCAAAGAAUAUGCAAUUAUCACUCUUGCAAACUUUCCUGUGCCUCAGUAAUUAAACCAACAAAUUAGUUAAAGGCUCCAAUGCGGAAGAAGAUUGGUAGACUGUGGUCAAGACACACAUUUACGGAUUUUCCCUUAAGCUGCUUUUCUUGAGGAAGCUUUGAUAAAGACCAUAUGAUAUCAAUUAUCAUUAACUCUGUGUGGUUUCUCUGCAUUUGGAGCUCUCAGACAUUAGUAGACAGGAGCCUUGUGUUAAGUCUUUAAUGUAUGGCUGGGUUUUUUUUUUGCUGCAUAGCCUAUUCUCAUUUUGAUUUGUCAGCUGACAUUUGAAAGAGAAGAUUUAAGACAAUUUACAUGCAGACUGUGGCCUAUUGUGCUGAGUGACACUUUCUCCUCUGAUGUGAUUUGACAGAGUGCUGUUAUAACAGCAGCAAACAAACAAACAAAAACCCCAACCCUAUUUUAAAUACCAGAUUUAAAAGCAAACAUUUUAACUGUAUCUCAUGCUCAGUUACUGCCCAAAAAACUGAAGGAUGUGUUAAGGUGUCCCUGUCUGAGCUUAACAACAAAGUCAGCAUGACUUAAUAAACAGGCUUAAAUCGUCUCUUCAGAGAACACACUCAUAUAAAGUCCCUUAACAUCAAAGUCUCUCGUCUUGCUCUGUUCUGCAUUCCGUCAGUGUGAGCCUUUCUUCACAGACAGCAGAGGGGAUUCAGCAAACAUGUAUAUGUGAUUCAUUCUUAAGAUCUUCAAAUAUGUGGAUGAGUCACUGAUAAGUACAUGUAAGCUGUGCUGUCCAGAUUUAAAGUGCAGCAACCAGCACUGGAAAUUACAGGAUGUAGUUAGGAACAGAUGAGAGAGCCUGAAAACUCUUAAAUUGAGGAAGUACAUAUGAAAAUCUGUAGCAGGCUAAGGAGUUCAUUUGACUGGAAAAAAAAUAGUCUACAUUAAUUCAUUUCACUGGGAUUUACAGACAAGUUGAGGCCCAAUUGUUCACAGCUCUUCUUUGCCACGUUUUCAGCUGGGGUUUCUCAACAGUUUGGGGGAAAAGAACCACCCAGUUCUGAAAUGUCUCUGUUCUGUAGCUUUUUGGAACUGGAUUGGCAAUACUAGCUUGUAUUUCAGCUGAGCUUUAUGCCCACGUCUGAUCCAGAGGCUGCGAGCUGGAUGGUCAGGGGACUGUACUACUGAUGUAGAUAACCAGGAGGCAAAAAAUGAUUGCCUAGCAAUUUUUCUCUUGACCUUCUUUCAUAGAAUCAUAGAAUGGCCUGGGUUGAAAAGGACCACAAAGGCAAUCUAGUUUCAACCCCCAUGCCAUGGGCAGGGUUGCCAACCACUAGACCAGGCUGCCCAGAGUCAGAACCCUUGGGUUGCUUAUUUACUUAAUAUUCAAGGCCAGCACCAUUUCAGGGAGAAGGAAGGGAAGAGUCUGAGCACACCACAUGCUCUCAGGCAAUGUUCUUCAACUUGAAGAGUGAAGCAGCUCACAGUGCUUUACACCCUUCUGGGUGGAGAAAUCAACUUUUGACACCAAAGAGAAACAUGGAGACUUCAAUUUGAGAGAAUUUGACCGACAGCUACCUGAGGUUAUAAUGCACUGCUACUUAUCCUUCUGACUUAGUGCAUCAUCUUGAGUCAGUCUUAUGUUACUGUGCCUCGUGUCAUGUUUUCCUUUUCUUUUACCUAAAGCCUUCUUGGUUUUUUUUUCAUAGCUACCAUAGUCAGUGUGAAACAGUACAGCUGGUGGUUUCAGGUGUCCUAACAUAACAUUUGUAGAUGUUUUGCAGCUACUAAAUGUGCAACAAACCAGCCUGUUCUGCACCAGAAUUCCUGCUUGAUCUAAGUACACAGCAGGGCUCCACCUGUAUAGCAGGCUUGGAGUUGACGGUGUGAUUUUACACACUGAUUCAUCACAGGUUAUUUAGCUGGUUUGUUAAUAUAGUCAUAGUGUAAUAGGAAAAUUAUCUCCUGUUCAAUCACCGUUAACAGCCUGUUCUUGUAUCUGUCCAUGAGCAAAUGUCUUCAGGGACAGCAGUGGAAAAUUUCCCAUUGCUAUCAAGAAAUGUUGGGUGGGUUCCAGUUUUUUUCUCAGAAGCUUUCGGAACUUUGGGUUUAUGUUACAAUGAGGAGUAAUCAACAGCUUUUUAAAAUCCCAUCACCCGUUGUCUAGACAUCAUUUAAAAUAGCAAUGCUACUUAAUGCUUACUCUUUCAACAUUUUCAGUCCAUCUUUUCCCCAGUCACUUCUUUGUAAUUAUUCUCAGCAUCUUAAUGUUCACCUUGGGAAUUUUCAUUUUAACUUUAUGUGCCCAAUGUUCUUGCUUGGAUGAUAGAAUCAUAGAAUGUCUUGGUUUGGAAGUGACCCCAAGGAUCAUCAAGUUCCAACACCCUUACCCUGGUCAGGGAUUAGACAUGCUUACUCUGUACUUCUAAUUUCUGAGGCUUUCUCAACUAUAAGUAAGGAGAGCAAAGUCUUUUGCUGCCUGUUUUUCCAUAUCAGGUCUUACGCUACAUUAAAUAGAAAUGCAGAUCUUGUGAGAAUCCCUUAUUUCCUUUUCAAAAUUCAAAUUGUCGUAGUAUCCUCUUACCCUGAUGCAAGGUAAGCCUGUGACACGCAGUGUGAACGUCAUGGAUUACUCCUUGCAAUUCAUGGAUUACCUCCUUUAGCAAGCCCUCGUAUCACUGGACAAUGUACCCUAGCUUUUUGAUUUAAUUGUUGCUAAUUCCAAAGUUCUGACUUUUUACAUUAAAUUUUACAUUUUAGUAUUCACACGAGGCACAUAAUAGGCUCCUAUUAUGUGCCUCAGUGUGCUUAAUACAAGAUUUUCAUCCCACAGAGAGGGUGGAAUUCCAAAAUGAUGCUAACUCAAGAUGGGAUUAAGAUGAGUAUUGGAUCCCAGGAUGCCUUCACUGAGAGAAGGUCCUUUCACAGGAAGACUGAUAGGCUAUACUGCACUAGAAGAAACUGAGAGAAGUAGGGAGAAGGCAAAGAAACAUCUACCAGCCUCUUGAAAAGUGUUCCAUCAAACAAGAACUGAGGUAAGCAGCUCAGAAGAAAAUCCAGGCAGGAGAUAUGAAAACUUCCACUGGCAAUCUGAGAGCAAGACAGUUGGGAAUGCAUGCCUGUGUUUAACAGAGGCUUGCCCCUGGCUUAAACACAGUCCUUGCUUAACCAAAUCUAGCUAAGAAAAGCUUGCAGUGCUCAAGACGUGCAAUUUCUGAGCAUGGUUAGUGUUGUAGUGAGAGUGACCAAAGAGGCAGAUGUUUAAAUACAUCACAACAACAGAAAUGCUGUGCUGUCAUUGAGUAGUUUUUCUGUUGAAAAGGUUUUGAAUUUAUAGGAAUUAACUAUUUCCCAUCAAGACCAUUCAUGGAUUACCCCAGUCUUUCCAUUUUUGAUAGCAGACUAAGCUAUGAAAAAAGUUUUGCAUCAGUCUAUCUCUGUGACUGAGGCGGCAAUGUUUAGUCAGGUUAGGAAUUAAUUAUAUUUACUGGGGUACAUUUUGACCAUUGCUUAUAUUACUGCAUCUUAUCAAUAUCCCUCAGCAAAGCAGGCUGGAAUUGCACUCUGCUUACACUUUGUCUAGGCUUUUACCAUUUACACAUAUCUAUCCCUAGGCUCGAUAUUAUGCAUAGGUGGUAAGGCCUUCAAAGCAAGCCCAGUCUGCUCAGUUUAGGCAAUGAAGGUCAAAUAGGUUACAAAAAUGCAUAAUAAUCUCAUCGUCUCUGCUCCUUAAGCUAGAACCCUUUGUGAUAUAGCCUUCAAUGUCCUUUGCUCAGUUUUCAGGUUUUUACCAAGCAACACUGAAAAGAAUAGGGGAGUAAGCUUUCACUGCCUUACUGUGUGACCGUGUGUUAGGACAGAGUCAUGACAAGCAAUUUGAUUGUAUUUCACUGCACGUAGAGCUCUACCCAACCUGCACUCUGGAAACCUAAAAACAAACAAACAAAAAUCCACCAACACCAGCCUUAAAUAAAGCUUUGUUUUUUUUUUUAAAGAAAUUAUAAGAAAAAUUACAGAGAGGGUUCAUUGCCUGAUAACGUGAUCAACAUCUGAAUAAGACCUAGGCAAAAAGUCUCCAGUAGAGGGAGUGACCAAAUUAAAAAUCUCAUCCAAACUACUCUGAAUUAUAUGUUGCUGGAAAGUGUUUUCAUUCCUCAGGUGUGAGCAGCCAGAGAAGCAGGGAACUAUCUUAACUAGCACUGUGUUUUAUGGAGCAUCAUAUGUGACUCUGACAGUUGCACGAGUCUGCAUGAGAGCCAAUGCAAUUUGAAUUUAAUAUAUAUAGAUUUGUUUAUAUAUACACGCAACUAUAUUUUAAAGUAUGUGAACAGAAUUAAGAAGAGCCUUGCUUUCUGCAUUUCCUGCACUGUGGCCGCAGUCACUCGUGUUUACUGUGCAUAAUGCAGCAUUCAGUAUGUCACAUACGCCCAUCCAUGGCAUUAAUUACCCUACUUUCCCAAUUAAAAGAAAUAAAAAAAAUGUUGUAUUUGACCCUCAAAGCCACAGCUGAGCUGAAAUUUAAAUAUAGAUCCUUCUAGCACUAGAAAAAUACCCUGAUUAAUCAAAAUUAUUAAAAAUGUAUUUAGCUUUUAGAUAACACCGCCAGGUAGCGCCUAAGCCACAGGUAAUUACAUCACUGAGGUACCUGCUUCUUUCCCUGGUCGUUUUUCUGAUCUGACCUUUUCACACUCUUUCCGUUGCAGUCUCCCAAGCAUACGUACAUAGAAAUGACUGGCCUCUCCAAAGGCAGCUCAGAGCCCUAACGAGGGUAGUGAUGAUACACUUUCUCAGUGUACUUUGAGACACGAAGGAAGGAAUGUGUAUUUUUGCAUUUAAAAUUUUAUUCUGUUUUGCUUUGUACGAAGUCUCUUUGCAUAUUGCAUGAGUACUUUCAACUGAGAUCUUUGGGUUGCAAUCCAUCAGAUAGCGGAGAUGCAGUUUCAGAAGCCUCUCCAUAGAGGCUCACUGAACAGCAGUUCAGAAGGUGCAGUAUCUAGCAUAUAUAAGUAUAUAUAAUGUAACUAAAGGAUAUGUAAGUUAUUGUAUAUAUUCUAUAUAAUAAUACAUAGAAUAUCCUAGUAUAAAAGUGACAUCUUUUCAAAUAUUUGAUUAGGAAAGCAGUGUCUGGGUACGUUGGGGAAAUGGUGCAUUUGAGAGAGGAAUAACGAGGGUGCGGGGAAGGAGAAAGACUCCUGUCCAUCAGAGAACUGACAGCACUUAGUUAAAAUAUAUUUUUGAUAGACAACAACUUCACCCCUUACCUUUGUGCUUUCCUGCAGCUUUUGAAUGUAGCUUUAUUUUUCCUUUUCGUACCCAAGUUGAACUAUGUGUAAAGUAGUAGUCCCAUUUCGGGUGAAUUUUUAAGUUCUAUAAACUUCGUAAUUGUAGCACACAAACACUUUUUCCCAAAGACAAACAAUGUAGUAUCCUCUAGGGAAAACAAGAGGUCUCCAAGUUUAGAAAACAGGCUGGAGUGAUCAUUAGUGAAGCACAAUUUCAUGGCAGGAAGUCGGCUUGGAUCCCGUCUAUGUAUCCCAGACAUUUUAUGGUCUGGAUACAGAAAGCUCAUAUGGUGAAUGUUGGGGUUUUUAACAGCCAUAUUUUGGGCCCAUAAAAUAACCAACUACAACAGUUAAUUUUCACCCACACACCCAAAUUGCUAGUUGGUAUCACAAUUUCAGUCCCCUGACACCCCUUACACAAACAUACACUAUCACCACCAAAAAAAGUAAAACCUAGGAGUGUAGUCUUGAGGGAUUGCAAUGGGUGUUUAAAAAAAACAUGCACACACACACACACACCAUACACACAAAAACGAGCAGCAGAUGACUGAUUAUACCUUCCAGCAAGUCACAGGAGGAAACAGUUUACAGAAUGCGUUGCCUCACAGCUCUGCCAUCUCUCCAUCACCUCCCUGUCCUUUUCCUUUCUUUUCUGGUCUGAUCUCUGUUGUCCUCCUUUCAUAAGCUGUUGUAGCCCAGAGCAGAAUCAGCAGCUUCCAAGAGUAUCAGCAACUUUAAAAUUUCCUUUAACUCUUUCCAAAAUGGAUCCAUGUGUUUAAGCAGGAAAUGCAACAAAUAGGUUACUACUGUGUUGUUUUGUGUUGUGAGAAAAUGUGAGCAGGCAGCUGGGUUAUCAUCUCCUCAUCCUAACAAGCUCUACUUAAAAUAUGCCUCAGACAAAAGAGAAAUGGUGAUUCUCUAGUUUAUCAGAAAGUGAACAGCACGAGCAAUCAAAGUUAUGAAACACACUGCAAGCUUGCUGGCCUCUCAGUUCAGUAGGAAUGAAAAGGGGAUGAACACUUUAAGAUAGAGAUUUAUGAUUUCGAAAAGCUCGUUUAGUGUAAGUUUAUUAUCAACAGAGAUGUCAGUUACUGUAUAAAUACCUAUCUUGAACUAGGCCCCUCUCGUUAGGAAGAUGUGAGUGAUGCGUGGAGAAUGUCAUCUCAUCAGGGAGAGAGGUAUUGUUUGAUUAAUUGCAUCUGGCUACUCAAUAACUUAAACUGGGUUCAAAUUAAAAUGGAGUGAUUUUUGAGUGCACAUCUAGGCAGCUUUUAUAAGAUGUAUGAAACGUUGAGCUAAGAAUAGAGAGUGAGGAUACUGGCUCUGCAGGUUCUAAAACAGGGAAUGUGUGCAAUAGCCUUGAAGUGGGCAGGUUUAUAGACCAGUCCUGUAUUUGCAGAGUGAGUUAUGUAGAUUUAAGAGGCCCUUUCUGUUACAUUUUCUUAGGUCUUGAACACUUCAUAUGGGAAAAUCAUAUCAAGCGUAGAAACAGUUCAAAGAAUUCUAGGGCAGUGGAAAUCUAGAUGUAAAACACUGAUUUUAAAAUGACCAAGACACUCCAGCCAUGCAUGUCACCUUCCUGUCUGCCUCAUUGAAUUAAUCUCGACUGAACAAGCUACAUGGGCUGUAUGUAACACACUGCAUCUCCUUUUACUAUAUUUAGACUGGUCAUCUUCUUCCACUCAGCUAAGCCAGAGGGGAGCUCAGCACGCAUCUUGUAAACACAGUGCCUUAACUGUCUACAUGGGAGAGGUGGUGUUUUUCCUUAAGCUGCUUCCCAGAUAGUUCCUUAAAUUGCUUUCAUAGCGUUGUUUUGUAUUUUCUGAGCAAAAGGAAGACUGCUUCCUGAAGGCUUCCCUUGGCAGAGAAACUGUGAGUGAUGCAGUGCUCCUCUUUAUCUCUCCCUGCUGGAAGAUAUUUCCUCUUGUUGAAGGUCUCGAAUCAUGUUUCCAUGGUGGGACUUGCCUGUGCCACACACUUCAGCACUCAGAGCUCAAUGUGCCUUGCAAGGCUGGCUCAGCAGAUGACUUUCAGUGGUACUAUUUUAAAAGCAAUUAGUAGGGUUGUGCAGUUCACAGUAAUUCCGACGAAGUCUCAUGUGACAUCUCAAUGAUAAAAUGUGCAUUUUCCAAGCCACAGCAUUUUUCAGGUAGUUUUGGCUUCAAGAGAAUAAUAAGAGAACAGUUGUGUUCAAGAAAUGUUUAGGUGCUGUAUAAGGGUACAUGGUUUAGUGGGAAAUACUGGUGAUACGUGGAUGGUUGGACUGGAUGAUCUUAGAGGUCUUUUCCAACCUUGGUGAUGCUGUGAUUCUAUGAUAAUGGACAACCUGAGUUCAGACAGAACACGAUGUAGCAUAUCCAGAUCUCGAAACGUGAUGUGUGGUACAAUGAAUGUUUCUACAGAUGCACGGAAAAUCAAGAUGUAAAUCCACUAUUCUAGCAUGUUCAGGAGAGUAGGGAAAAAUAGCUUUACACCCCACCCAUCAAGAUAUACGGGACAAAAUUAUUAUGUAAAAUGUGAUAACCUACAGUCUUACAUAUAUUCCCUUUAGGCCUGAGAUCCAAGUCUAAGGAACAGAAAAGCUGAAAUGUUGUCUAACCUAGAGCUCUUUUUUGUAAUGUGAUAUAUAAUAGCAGGUUUCAACUUUAAAUACGUAACAAUAGCAACAACACUGCUGAACUAGCUGUUUACACCAUUGUGGAAAACAGAAAACUUCUGCCAUUUAUCACUCAGCUUGAACUAAUAAUUUUACAUUUCAGAGUCUUGGUUUUGGGCGAGAUUUUUCUGGCUUUAAUUUUCAAAGACUUCAUUUUAUUUCUGAGCACAGUGAUGCAAAAUGAGCCACACAGAAGUUAGCCAAUAUAUCACCACUAAAACUGUUUUCUAGAUAGCUCAUUUUCAUUUUCUGUUAAUCAAAUUACAGUGCUUAGUCUUAUUGUGUGGAUUGCAUGAUUGCAAGAGAAUUUAAAAGCAAACUUCAAUACUUGGAAAAUUCAUGGAAAUCCAAUGACAAACUUUCUGAGCUAAGCUCAGCAAGAGAAUGUUGAACGUGGGAGAGUGCAAUUUAACGUGGCACAGCUGGCAGCCUUAGUUUCAUGAUUCAUUUAAUAAUUACCACAGAGAAUUGAAAGUUUUAAUCUGCCUAUAAAGGGCACUUUCCCUUUUGAGGCAGAAUCAGUUAAUGCAACAAAGAGAGAUCUCAACAACAGUAGAGAACCUCAGAAAUUCUGGCUGAGGUCAGUGAGUACUACUGCCAUGCAGAAGGAAAAGCUUUGGAGUUGUGUUGCAUUCAGACUGAGAAUUCCUGCAAGCCUUGCAAGUUGCUAAUGGUUGCUAGUAGUUAGAAUCAUAGAAAGCUGGAGUUGGAAUAAUUUUUUAAAAAUUAUUCCUCCAGUGCAUCUUUGUUCUAAAUAUGGAGCAUUAAUCUAAACUUCAAGGGUGGUAAUCUGCCAUGAACUCUCUUCAAGUUGUCUUACAUGCUGGAGUAGUCUCAGCUAACGAAAGCAGUAUGCAUGCUUGCAUCAGCCUAACUGAAAAUAAUUUAGGUUCAAUGUCCAGCUGCUGCUUCUGUUUUGGUGUCUACAAAAUGGUAUUUACAAAUGGUUACUUGCAAAUUCAAAGUACUCUGCGGACAAUCCUGUGGACUACCUUGCUUACCAGUUCCAAAAUUUCCCUUAAUACUGUGCAAAAAAAUGGUAUUUGGAUUGAAACAAAUCAUUCAACCUUGCAGUGGUUUUAAAGUGUAAUCCUGUGUGUAAUCCAUGCAGUAAACUGAAUGUAGCCUUAGAUUUUAGUUAGGUUUCUUUCUCUAGCAUCGGUGGUAUCAUAAUUAACACUCUGCUUAAGUAUCCAUUCCACCUGAUUGGAUUCAACUGGAGGAGUAAUUACAAUUAUUUUAAGCAACCAUGUUUUACCCCUUCAUAGACUGAGUUUGUAGGGUAAAAAGAAUAGUAAAUCCUGCUUCAAAAUUAAGCAUUCCAAGUUUGCUAUUGUUUGUCCCAGAGCUCCUUACACAAGUUUUUCUGCCAAAAUGAGAGCAAUCUGUUCUUUAAAAAAAUAGAAGAUUAAACUUCUUGGAGAAUACAUAAAAUAGAUUCACUCUGAUCAGAGUGAGCCUUUGCAGCUGUUUUAAUCCCUGAACUGCAAGAACCCUAGUAGCGUGCUGCACUUGAGGAAUGUGUUUCUAAACCCACUGACACCAAAUGCAGAGCGAGUCCACAGUGAGUCCUGCUUUGGACCUGGCAUGGGGACUUACUGCAAACAUGGAAGACAUGUGCUGUUCCAAAACAGUGUGAAGCUUUCUUGGUGGGAAACAGCAAGCAGCUUGUUUGCAACUUUUAGGUCAGGAGACUGGUGAGCUGUGGAGUGCCAAUAGAUGGGAGGGCAGCCCAGGGAAAGGCUUCUGCUAAAAUUGCUGGUUGUGCUUUAUUGAGGCCUUCAGCUCUGGGGACAGUCACAAACAGAGACUUAAAAGGAUGAUUUGAGGCCCUGACUCGGUAUGGCUGUUCCUGUAUCAUGUUUGGUGUGACAUGUAGCAGGUGUGAAUUUCCUGAGCUUCCUAAACCCUGUUCUGUAGAAGUUCGGCUGGCUGGGGAGAAACAACCAACCUAAGUAGAGCCCACUCACUCAGUGAUACUAUUUCUCUGUAGUACUUUAGAAACCCAUGUACAGAUAGUGCCAAAACUGAGGGGCGCAUUUUAGGUACUGGUGUGCGGAACCCCAUUUUUAUUAAUAUUAAAUGGAAAAGUUGUGACUCAGUGGGUUGAAUCAGGCAGCAACUUUUCCCUUGCUGCAGGUGAAUGACUAUAUCUGUCUCUCUUACCCUUUGGUUCCCAGUAAGUACCACAAGGAGCAUUUGGCUCCUUUUUGAGUGUAAAGCUCAAUCUAACAAAGUUUUAACAAAUAAUUUAUAAGGAGAAAUGCUGGAUCAUUCGAGCUUUUCUCCUCCCCUCUUCCUCACCCCUUUUCCCCUACUGCUCCUUCCUGCACAUCUCUGCACGUCUCCCAUGAAAACCAACCUGUUUUCUUUUGCUGGACAAUGGUUUGACCAGACAGGUUCCCUGUGUAGACAGUGCGCUGUGAAACUUCUUGUGGAGGCCUUUCCAUGGAGCUGGGAAUGGGACGAUGCUUCGGCAGUUUUGCUGACAAAUGCCUCAUAGCAAGUUAAGCACCGUGACCUGGGGGACUCACUAGCACGGGGUGCCUGCUGGUGGUUCCCUAGAUCCCUUGUGUGCAAGGGAAGGUCUGCAGAGCAGUGGGAAACAUUUUUUGAACUUUUCCCAGUAUGUAGGCUGUACCAGAUCAGAACCUUGAGAAUGAAAAACACUGAAGGGAAAAAAACGCUCCCUUUUUAUAGUCUACUGUCUCGUUGAAAGUGAUUUAUGAAAUGAAGCUUCCUGCCCACCCAGUGCACAGAACAAAUACAGACAGUGCUUUGAAAUAACUACAGUACUAUGCUAUUUUCAGUAAUAUUUAGCUCAGACUUAGCCAAGAAAGCCCACUAAGCAUAGCAGACAGACAUAAAAAGAAACUCUCUUUUUUGCAUUUUUGUGUGUGCAUGCAUCUAUUUUAAGUUUCACCAGUUGCAUAGCUGACUAUCAAUGUUGCAAAGUCCCAACUUGGGAAAAUGCUUUAAACCCACUUGUCAUUCAAGUAACAGCACUUGAGCACGCACCUAACUUUAAGUGCCUUAAUAAAUUUAAGCAUGUGCUUAAGUCGGAAUACUCUUAUCUCUCACAUUGACUUCAUUCGCUUCAAGCAGUGGAUAAUCUUGUGGUCCAGCCACUCUCAUGAUUUGAUUGUGUUUUGUGUGUGUGUAUUUAGGAAGUGCUUGUACCCUCUCAGUGACUAUGAGUUUUUAUACUGUCACAAAAUUACUACCCGUCUGCUGGCAUCAGGUCUACACUCAAGGAGGAAGCUCUAGCUGACGCUGUCUUGGCUCACAUCUGCUGCAUUUUCUUUACACUCAUUUCUUCCCUGUCUGCAAAUUGUGAGGUGUUACUUGUUUUCACACUUACAUUUAGGAAAAAAGAAGAUAAAAACAAGCCAACAAGGUAACUUAGAAGGUCUUUCAGGUAAAUUUAUCUUGCCUUUAGCAGUGGCUGUCCAGAGAAGAAUGGAAAAAUCAGAUUGAGCGCACAGUAUUACAUCUCCAAAAUAAUCUCCUCUUUUCCCUAGUGAUUUGAAGGUUGAAGGACUUCUUAAGCCAUCACUGUUAUUUUUGCACUGGAUAGCUUUUAUUUGAAAUCGUCUAAUGCUGUCUGAGGCUGGAUGUCUGGAUCCUCAGCGUGUAACUCGGUGUUUCUCAUAACUCUGGGAAAGUAGGGAUUCUGCCACUUGGGUUUUUACUCUGAGAUUUGUUGGAUAUGUUUGUUUUUCAGUUUCAAACUUCUCCAUCAUUAUAGUAUGAGGAUACUAUACACAUGAACCCAUGAAAUACCCACUGAGCUCAUCAGCUUACAUCAAAGCUUCCUUCCCCAUACUUCACUCCAUUUUCUAACUUUUCUGGUUCAAGCUGUCUUUGUUACUCUGACCAAGCAUGGGGAUCUAUCUCACUGAUGAAAGAGACAUCAGUGGUGCUAGUCUAUCUAGAAAUCUCAUAUUGAAAACACAGCAAGAAAGGUUUCUCUUCUUGGUGUUCCCACACUGUUAACACGUGGUUUUCUUAUUGUGGUUUACUUUAUAGAUCCAAACCAUGUGCUGUAUUAGGAAAUGCUAUGGAAGGUCCAUUUCUCAUGAUAGUUUAUCAGAUGAAGUGCUUUAGAACAUACAUAAAAAAUACAUCAAACAAAGUCAGUAUUUUAUUUCACUAUCUCAUUUUAAGAGAAUGGCAGGAAAAUGCCACUAAUGGUAGGACUUAGACCUCAUGUCUGUGCUGUCAUGUAUGCAGAUAUACUCCUCUACCCAAGUAGAUUUCCAGAAGAACAUUAUGAAAGGACCUUUCACAAUGAGAAAUAACAUGCCUUUUUUGUUUAAUGAUAUAUUAAUCAGUUGCAUGAUAAACAGAUUAAAAAAAUGCUGAGACUCCACUAGAUAUGGAAAUAUAGUAGUUGUAUUUGAUUUAUAUCCUACCCAUAACAGUACAUAUCACUGUUUACUCUUUUAUCAUGAACUAAGGUAAUAUAUGUUUAAUUAAAAACCUAUUUGGGAUGUUUGUGUCUUACAUUCCUAAAGCCUGAAAUGGAUUGUCUUUUACCACCCUUACGAAACAGGAUAAAAAUUUGAAAAGCACUAGCUGUGUGCUCUACAGAACAUCCCAGGUUAAAAAGGGAUAUUUGGUUUUCAGCCCAGGAAUUAAUAAAAAUAGAUCCUUAUCAAAGACUAAGAUACUUGUUUGCAGACUUUCUGAUACAGCAUUACUCAGUCAGGCACACUUCUCCUUUUAUAAUAGCUGUUUUUCUUUCUUCUAAUUCAGGAAAGACUUCGAUCCAGCACUUUCUGUCAUGCAUUAGCAACUCUGAAAACAUGUUUACUUAAGUACAAAACCACAUUAGCUCAGCAUUACUGUACGCCUCAGACACACAUAAAUUACAAUAUAUUGUGGGGUAGGAACUUUGAUCAAGAAAAGCCCACACUGAAUUAACUUGGAGGUGGGGAGGAGGGUUGGAGCAUUAUAUGUUCCUUGUCCCUUUUUUUCCUCUUCCCUAUGAUUCUCACUGCCAGUCAGUCUUUCAGAUUGCUCACUGUUUCUGCACUGCAGACUACAAGAAAUAAAGCAGUAGCGAUAGCAGUCCUUGUCCUAGUCCUAGGUCCUAACCUUCACUAACAUCCAUUUCCAUACACAGAAUCUCAGCUGACACUCGGUAAGUUCUCCCUCAUGCUCCCCAGCAUUCUGCCUCUCACCCUGGGGUUCUGGAACAGAAAAUCAGCUAAUUCAGAGCCAUAACAACGAUUAUAGGUAGUGUAGCUGCCAUUAAUUAUUCUUAUUUACCUGAACCAAGUAGCAGAUAAGAUAAAGGACUUAAAUGGUGCUUUAUGUUUAAGUGUCAUGACAAUUUAUGGCUGUCAUAUUGUUAUGCACAUGUUAGGAACAAGCAAAAGGAAGUAGGGAAUGUAAGAAGGACAUCUGUAUCAUGUGAAAUCCAACACAAAAGUAAGCUACUCUUAUUUGUUUAGGAAUUUUAUCUAGUUUAUCUUUUCUCAGAUCAGAAAGACAACCAUCAACCAAUGUAAGAUCACUGUAAGGGUCACAGCCCAAGGAACAACGUGGCCACAAUAACUCUCAUUUUUGAGAAAGAAUUCAAGGUAGUACUGCUCUUGGAUUUCCACGUGGUCGUACAGGCACCUAUCUCUAAGUCCAUUAAUGUAUUUGAAAUUAAUUGUCAGUACAGUGCUACAGCUCUUGUAAAGUACAAUUAGAUUUCUGUGGUUUAAUUGAUAUCUACCGCAGGUAUCUGGAAACAUCAGUUUAUGCACUAACAGUUCACUAUGCAGAUGAUCUGUUCAGCUCCAUGGACAAGAAUUUGUUGGGGGCAUUUGCAGGCUCCCAUUACAAAAGACAGGUCUCCAAGAUCUAAAAUGACACACUCCUAGCAAGUCAUCACAAAUACAGCAGUGUUCCCCAAUUGGAACUCAGAUAUCAUAAUCAUUUAUCAUGCAUAAACUUCCUACAAGGAGUUUCUCAAAAUUUUUCAAACUUGCCCAGGUCCCUCUGGAUGGCAACCCUUAUUUCUGUUCUAUGAACUGCACCACUCAGCUUAGCAAACUUGCUGAGAGUGUUCUUAAUCCUACUGUCUAGGUUGUUGAUAAAGAUGUUGAAAAGCACCGGUCCCAGGACAGACCCCUGGGGGACACCACUCAUCACCUGAAGCCAUUAACCCCAACCCUCUGGCUGACGCUGUACAACCAAUUCCUUAUCCACUGAAUAGUCCAGCCUUCAAGUCCAUAUCUCCCCAAUUUAGGGAUAAGGAUGGUGUGUGGGAUCGUAUCAAAUACUUUGCUGAAUUCCAGUUAGAUGAUACCAGUUUCUCCUCUUUCUUCUACUGAUGCCAACACUCCAUCGUAGAGGGCCACCAGAUCGGUCAGGUGUGAUCUGCCCAUGACAAGACCAGGUUCUUUGUCACAGAUCACCUUGCCUCACAUGUGUCUUAAGAUAGCUUCCAGGAGGUUCUAUUCCACCAUCUUAUUUUUCCCAUCCCUCACCAAAUGCAGUUCCAUCUGUGCCUUAUCUUUCCUGAUCCCAUCUCUUCAUGUCUAGAUGGAAUCCUGUAUUCUUUCCAGGCCACUCAUUCCUGAUUCCAUUAACUGUGAAUUUCCUUCUUAUUUCUCAUUUUGACCAGCAGGUCCUCACUCAAUCUUGCUGGUUUCCUCCCUCCUCUUCUUGAUUUCUUAUGCUGAGGGACAGAGAGCUCUUAUGUUGUCAGAAAGGUGUCCUUAUAGAGCUGCCAGCUCUGCUCUGCUCCACUGUCUCCGAGGACAGCUUCCCAGGGGAUCUCAUCCAGUAAUUCCUUAAACAGCUGGAAUAUCACUCUUCUGAAGUGCGGAGUCCUGUCUCUGUUCUUUGCCAUGCCCAUAUUCCUUGAGAUCACAAACAUAAUCAGAGCACUAUCACUACAGCUCACAGUACCUCUUAUCUUAAUAUAUUUAAUGAUCUCCUUUGUAUGGUGAGUGUCUGGUCAGGUAAUGUUUCUCCUCUGGUUGGUUUGUCUGAUAGCUAGGCCAGGAAACUUCUCCGAAUGCACUCCAGGAGUUUGAAUUCCUCCAUCAAAAUGAAAGCCUGUGGACACAGUGCUUCUUGUAGCUGUAGCAAGAAGGUCUUCCAGUAGGCUCCAGGUAAGACAGUGCAGACAGAACUUUGCUUUGACCUGACUAGGUAUGGAAGUAAGUUGGUUCAAGAGCACUGCAUGGCCAUUUUUCUCAUUAAAGAUGAAGAAACCUUUAGGAAUUCCCUUUGAGACUGUUGCAUGUGGUCUCCUGUUCGCUCAGUCCGGUGUUCGUCCUCUGUCCACGUGUAGGGCUUACUGCUGGGCGAAACCGACCCUUUACCAGGUCGGGGCCAGAUGCUCACGCAGACCCCAGGAGUAAGUGAGGCAAAUGGCGUUUAUUGCUAUAGGCUACGUGUUUAAAUACAAGUGUUUCCUCCAAUCACGAAGCUACACUUGGCACACACAGGUGGCAUAACACACAGGUGGCAUAGGGAACCUGCACACGUCACACCUCGUUUCCCUCGCUACGCAUACAACAUCUCCCCCUCCCUAUGCCGAUAGCUCCCGUCACAUCGCGUUCGGAACCUACAACUGCUCCCUAAUUCUAUGAUAUUUUAUGCGUUCAUCCAUAAACUGAUUCAUUGUUCUCGAUAGACAAUCCUGAAAGCACUUGAUUAUACAUGGAAUGAUAGCUAAUAGACAGGCUAUGACAAGCAAGGCAAACAGUAGCGUCUUAACACCUUUCGCGAGCCACCUUCCUAGAUCACCAAACGUGCGCGUAAACCAGUCCCCUAUGGGAUCAUCUUCCACCCGUAUCUUCUCUGUAUGUUCCUUCAUGGCUUGGAGCGCCUUGUGAAUGGACUCACUGUGAUCGCUGAGAUUGAAGCAACACUGCGUGCCGGAUGCUGCUCGUAUCCUCCAGCAUCGCAUUCAAUAUUAAUGAUGUUAAAUUUGCUUGCUUAACCGACCAACAUGCCAAUCGUUCGAUCUCCUUUAAGGCCUGUGCUGCGGCUAUACCAGGAGCAAAGAAAGAAGCAAAUAUCCGGGCUGUCACACUCCAUAGCUGUAGCUCAUCACCGCAGCCAGGCGAGAGACGACUCAGCGAGCGCCUGCUACGGCGGUGACCCGUAAUGUUCGGCCCAUAUGUUAUCCAGGUGGUAAAGUUAGGAGAGAGCAUAGUCAAUUGUCCUAGAUAACAGGGCCCUCCCAAGGCAUUACGCGGGAUGCCUUGCCAAGCCCUGUCCCCACAAAUCAAGAAAAUACCUGGGGGGAGUGCCUUAGCAGUCCCAUUGUUCCACAACACCUCUGGCUGUUUCCCGAAGGUAAACCCAUAUGCAUAAUAAUUCCAUUCCGUCGUGCAAUUACCACCGCAACCUGUCGUGUUGCUGGAACAUUUUGUCCCGUUGCUGUACCCCGCUGACCAUUUUCCCCUUUUUGAACCACACCAAUUAGAAAGGUCCCCUCUAUAGUAACGAGUCUCGUUACUGGUGAAUCCACAAUAUCUACGACUUAUUGAAAAACUCUCUACAUUUAUUGGACUUACCAUCGUCCAUGAUUGGUUGACAUAGGGUCUUAUAAGAAGGUCAUCACUUUUCCAUUUUGCUAUGAAGUCACGCAAUUCUGCUUCUGCCCCACCAGUCCCAUUAAAAUUCCCAUCAAAAUUGUGACAGACUCUACUGCGAUUGUUCUCUUUAUAGCACACCGAACCAAAGGUAACACACGUACGUGUUGUUCCGUUCUUGAUCAUCUGGGACCCUAAAAUAUCCAAUUCUUGGGGGUCCCAAGGGAGGGUUGUAUUUAGAGCCUGUAUCAAGCAUGCUGUUUGGCUGGCUAAAUCGGCGUCGUUAUCGCAAGCAGUAACAUUAGUGACGUAUCCCUUGAAGGUGUUCAGAGGAUACUGUGGAAUGCCUAUCUGUCGCAAGAAAUCCCGCCCCAGAAGAGUUCCGGGGACACGCGCCACCAAUGGUGUAAGCAACGCCGGUUUCUCUAAGGAGCCAUCCCUGUUAAUCACAACCGCUUGUACCUCAUUGGUAGACCGGCGUGAGGGGGUCGCCCCUCCAACCCCCAAAAUAGACUGCGAGGCCUCCGCGGGCCACGAGGAUGGCCAUUCUGUUUCCGCGACCACAGUAACGUCGGCGCCGGAAUCUAUGAGGGCAGUGACAAAGAUAGAUCGAGGGCCUUGAAAAUCCAGCGGGAGGUUGGUGCAAGAAAUAGUGGCUUUCACCAGAGGGCGCUCAUGGGUACUUAGAGACAGCGCCGCCAUGGGUAAACUUAGGUCAGGGGCCUGCAUAGGUCGAAAAAUGAAGUCACCGUGCUCGGACUGUCUCCCGUUGUUAUUUCCCUGGCGUGGAGGCCUACGGGCCCUGCAUUGUGGUGCUGUAUGACCCCUCCGCCCGCACUGCUGACAUGUUACGCUUCCACCCGCACCCAUUCUGCACUGGGCCCUAAUGUGGCCCGCCUGACCACAUUUAAAGCAAGGUCCUAACUGUCGGUCCUGCACUACGAUGGUCCGCCUCCCUACAGGCCAUCAUCACUCCUGCUACCGCCGCAGCUACCUCCCCUGCCACAGACGGACAGGCCUUUUGCUUAUCUAGGACCUACUUGAUGGCCUCACCAGGGGUUUGGAGCCUCCCCGGCGCCACUCGCAAAAUCCCCUGCACCCCUUCACUGGACUUCUGAUACAAGCAAUCCAGGAUGACGGGACCGUGAACUGCUCUGGGCAGAUCCGAGCCUUCCACUGCCUUAAUUAGUCUGUCUGCAAACUCCUGAAACGGCUCUGUGGGGCCUUGCGCGAUCUCUGUCCAUGGAGUAGUGGGCUCAGCACUCCUUGCAAGCUUUCGGAACGCGUCUAUUGCAGCGUCCGUAGUCGCUAUCAACUAUCCUGGUCUAAGUUGACAAACUUGUGCUUGAGGGGUCAGCAGACCUGGUGCAUUGCCCGUUAAUCUCUGUAUAUCGGACCCAUAUAUGGGGUUUCUUUGAUCACCCUGCGCCGUAAUCAGCAUUUGUUUUAAUUUGGUAUGCCACUCCUCUCUCCAGAGCGUAUACUGCACUGGUUUCAACACCAUGCGCAUUAAAUUUUCAAUAUCAUAAGGCAGCAUUGGGCCCGAUGCUGUGAGGGCCUCAAGGGCAUUCAUCGUCAAUGGCGAUUUCAGCCCUUUCUUUUCUACUGCCUCAAUCAUCCUUGCUACCCCCUUUGGGUCCAACGGGACCCAGACUGGGCCUCCCUCCUCUGAGACAACAACUGGGAGUGUAUAAGUUGCCGCCAGGCCUUUCUGUGCCACUUCCUCUUUGAUCUGCCCCCAAUCAGUAAGCUUAAGUCUCCCCUCCUCCUUUCCUUUUGGGGAUGGUCCCGCCCCCUGCUCCGAUGUCGUUGCCAAGGAAGGAUAUAACGGCUGCUUAGGGUAGGGCGGGGGCGGCGACAGCGCAAUAGAAUUAGGAGGGGCCGUCGGCGUCGUUGCACCCCCCCCCGAGCCUCUGCGACUCUUCUUUGUCCUUCUCGCAAUCUUCCUCUCUCUCCGUCGCCGUUUUUUUCGCUGUGGUCUGAGCGCCGGACCUGCAAAACUCCAAAGACCCGCUCCCCGAAGCUCCCUCCCCGCUCAUGACCCCCCCAAGUUUGUCCUCUUCCCUGGCCGCCUUAAGGGCUCCUAACAUCAGUCCCCACGUUUUAAGUUCCGUAGCCUUCUGACUGGCCAUGGCGCGCUGGCAUAGCGCCGAGGUGAGCAAGUCCCACCUACUCGAAUCCAAAAUGUGGCGGGGAGAGUCCAGCUCCCCCAGCUCAUUUAAUAGCGACAAAACUGUCGCGAUCUCCUUCCGGGAAGGAGUAGAUCUUCCACAGUAGUCCUUACAAAACUGCACAAGUACCUUAAUGACUUGGUCCAUUGUUACGCAUGCGACCUGCCGCCACCUCGCAGGCUCUUAACCGCAGUACGUCUUCCGUGCGCGACCUGCCGCCACCUCACAGGCUCUUCUCCGCGUCACGGGCACGCCGGGCAGCCACCCUCAGCAGACAGAUCACGUCGGGGUCACCACUUGUUGCAUGUGGUCUCCGUUCGCUCGUCCGGUGUUCGUCCUCUGUCCACGUGUAGGGCUUACUGCUGAGCGAAACCGACCCUUUACCAGGUCGGGGCCAGAUGCUCACGCAGACCCCAGGAGUAAGUGAGGCAAAUGGCGUUAAUUGCUCUAGGCUACGUGUUUAAAUACAAGUGUUUCCUCCAAUCACGAAGCUACACUUGGCACACACAGGUGGCAUAACACACAGGUGGCAUAGGGAACCUGCACGCAUCACAC